AGUUCUUUGUUUGUUACUUCAGAACACUUUGUUGAGCAGUUUUGAAAAUUUAUCUGUUGGUGUACCCAACUUCAAUAAUCUCAAACUAAUGCUUGUCCUUGGAAUACAGAUGCAAUGCUCUGAGGAAGUCCAGCAGCCAGCCUCAAUUCCAAAAAUGUAAGAGAGUUUUUAAGCCACUAUAGCUGACACCGAGUGAAGCAGACACAAGUUAUUCCCAUCAAGCCCUGACCAACUUUCAGGUCCAAAACUUUGGAAAUACACUUGACACUUCUCAUUUUCUCAUAUCUGACAUCCCAUUUACUAGGAAACCUUGUUGGCUCUGUUUUCACAAAAUACCAAAUAUCUCACCACUUUCACAACUUUCACUGAUACUG